CCCCUCCUCUCCGUGGCUGGAGAUGAUGCUCACAAAGUACUCUCCAUGUUCGCAGCAGCGCUCUGCAACGACACGGCCACACUGAUGCCUUUGUGCCUCAGCUCAGCGUGUCCUGGAGGAUCCUUGGACCAGGAGCUUCACCUUGUAGUUGAGCCGUGAGAGUAUCCUGGAAAGCUUCUCCGCUUCUCUCUUGGCUCCUUUCCGGGUCCCAAGCACCACAUCAUGGUCACUGCUGCAGAAAUUGCUGUUGACGAUGAUGAGAGCUCGGCUUUGCCUUGGCUGGGACAUACUGGGAUGUCCCCUCGGAGGGAACAGUCUUGUGCUGGUGCAGGAUACGUCCCCAGCAACAUGCUCACAAGGACGGGUCUCAGCUACGUCCCUGCACUCCUUCCCUUCCUCAACUUGCCAACCUGGUGUCGAAAAUCUGCCCGCGGGAGCCAC